rnacentral:rRNA from 1 species
AUUGAACGCUGGCGGCAGGCCUAACACAUGCAAGUCGAACGAGUGCCGGACGGGUGAGUAAUGUCUGGGAAACUGCCUGAUGGAGGGGGAUAACUACUGGAAACGGUAGCUAAUACCGCAUACCAUCGGAUGUGCCCAGAUGGGAUUGUCUAGUAGGUGGGGUAAAGGCGCACCUAGGCGACGAUCCCUAGCUGGUCUGAGAGGAUGACCAGCAACACUGGAACGGAGACACGGUCCAGACUCCUACGGGAGGCAGCAGGGGGGCAUAUUGCACAAUGGGCGCAAGCCUGAUGCAACCAUGCGGCGUGUAUGAAGAAGGCCUUCGGGUUGUAAAGUACUUUCAGCGGGGAGGCGUUACCCGCAGAAGAAGCACCGGCUAACUCCGUGCCAGCCGCCGCGGUAAUUC